UUCCUCGUCCGUCGCCCACAUGGGCCAGGCCCAAUGAAACCUGCGGUUCUUCGGUCGUAAGUUUCGCUAGCAUAGAAAUCUCUCCUAUCUUUCCCUUCGUCGCACUUCACGGAAACACUAGCGAAAUCCCGACCACACAGGCGGCCAUGGCGGCUGGCAUGGCGCCCAAGAAGCAACAGCUGAGGAUGAAGCCGUCCUAGGAGAUCUUCCAUGGCUCCAAGCCCAUGCGCAUCGAGCUCACCUGCCGCCGCCACCAUGGAUUCUUCUACGCCUCGCCUCCCUCGCCAGAACCACCAUCCCCAGCCAGAUCUGAUGGAGGCGGUGGCCAGAACCACUAUCCCCAUCCCCAGACUCGCCUGACCUUGGUGGGCUCGAAUCUAGGUUCUCUGGGACCGGAUCUGGCGUUUGGCGGCGGCGACCAGAAUCACCACGAGGACCACGGGGCCGCACCACAAACUUCGGCGUCCACUGCCUGAGCCGCAUGAAUCUCCGGCCACUGUGAGACAUGGAACUCCAUUUAGGUAUUGUUUGGUCCCUGUUCUUGCAAUGCAUGCACGAUAAGUCUGCUGUGUUUUAAACCAAAAUUUGCAGACGAUUCUCAGUUAAAUCCAAGUGCGACACAACGUCUUCAACAUGCAGAACUUGUCAUAUUCGAUUCCUUCCCUGUUGGAUAUAUUCCUUUGGUGGCGUGGAUUUCUUGCUGCAGUGCAAAGCAGGACAUAGAAUGCAGGCAACCAGAUUAGUUUUGGAUCUAAUUUUUUUAUGCUUUGUUAUUUUAAUAAACCUAAUGUGAGUUAUUUAGUUUAAUUUACAUAAACCUGUUGUAUUCUUUUUUACAUGCUUUUUAGAUUGUCCUACAAGCUUUGUACAAUGUUUCCAAUCAUGCUAGCUCUUUUUUAAAGAGAAUCAAGAUAUUUCUACACAAUUAAACAUCAAUAUUUCGAUAGUAAAACAUUGUAUAGGCAUGCACAUUUGCUGACUAUACCUAGGCUUCAUAAGGCUCAAGCAUAACCUCCAAUUUUGCAGGAAAAAAUACACGCUAUAUUUGUUCGGCCAUGAUUUGAGCCUUUUCAGUUUCUUUGCCAAGAAGAGAAAAAGAAGCAAAGGAACCAAUUCAUGAAUAGGACUCGCAUAGAGCUUAUCCAUCCAUGAAGGCUGAAGCCUCUCCCUUCCACACAUUAUUUCAGCAUGUGCAUGAAUCAAUACUGAAAACGGCGGGCUUCAUCUUGCCAAACUUGAUUGAAUUUUGUAGGUGUAUCAUUGCUUCAGAUUAUGAAACUUGUGAUUAAUCUGUACAUUUGAUUAUUUUUCCUGAUUCCAUGUAGUGUGUCGACAUUUACUUGGAUUUUCACAGUUGUUCGCCUGGGUGUUUCGACAUACACUCCGUCCUCCAGCCUGCGGAUUAUGGGCAUUUUCACCUGAACAAUCAUGACCCAUGUCAAGGCUAAUAUGGCAGCAGUGACUGUGACUGUAAAAGGGUUUUUAUAUUGAUGAUUUUUGCUGCUUUGUCGCGAGGUGGAGCAGUCUUAUGUUGAUUUAAUGUGUGCGUGGUACCCCCUCCUAGAACGAGUUAGUUUAUCCUAUUUCAUGUGGUUAUCCCCUACUACAGUAAUCUCAUAUAAUAACAUGUUUAAUUAAGCUUGUUCGUAUAUAUACACACACACACUUGCUUCAAAGUCUGAUGUAUUUGUCUUCACGUAUUCUGAUUAGUUCCUGAGAUAACCUAUUCUCUUUUUUGUUGGUAUUUCUGAAUGAGAUUCUUUUUUCAGCUGUUUAACAAAAGCAAUAUUGUAUAUUUGGAGCAGAGCUAGCAGAAUAUCUAUUACACUUUAAAAUAAAUAUAUGCAUUUUUUUUCUUCGAGUGUGUUCAUAAUAUCAGAAUGUGUUCGAAAUACUAAAGUUUGUAAUUAUGAUUGUUUUGGUGAUUUUCCCAGGGAGAUACGAGGAGGGGUCCAGGCUUGUGCUGGUGCUCCGGUAGCUAGGCGCAAGGCACAAGAACCUGGAACCUGCUCUUUGUUUCAGCAGUUCGACAUCUUUUUAACAAUUUAUUUAUUAAAAAAACACAAAACCCAACAGAGUUACAUAUGUACAACAUAUACAGAAAGAGAGAAACAGAAAAAGAAAAGCUAUGGCAAAGUAUCAAUCCAAGCCUGUAACUGAGUGACCAUUUUCUCCUUGACCCUAUGCUUAUGCAUAGAGAUUUCAUGAAUAAAAUCUCUCUUCCAUGAUCUGAAAGAUAGCCUUGUGUGCUGGAAGAUCAUACCAUUUCUUUGUUUCCAAAUAUGCCAGGCUGCUAAGAUAACAACCUCUGUGAAGAAAGGCUUCCCAAACUCCUUCCUUGCAUGUAUAAAUUUAUCCUCAAUUGUCACCCCAACUAACCAAUCAAUCUGCAAGUAAUUCCACACCUUCAUGCUGAAAACACAAUCAAAGAACAAAUGUAUCCUGUCCUCAUAAAUGUGUGAAGGACAAAGGACACAGUGAUGCUCAUCUGUGACAUUCCAAUUUCUCCUUUUAAUCAUAUCCUUGGUGUUAAGCAGUUCGACAUCUUACGGAUGGAUUUGAUUUCUUCUUCUGUUGUUUGUGCUUUUUGUUUGACAUCAAUGAAAGCAUUUGCACGAGCAUUUCUUCUUCUGCUGUUGUCUGGCACCGACAUGUAAAAUGGCUGAUUCAAAGGUGUUGCCUCCCAAUGAUGCUGAGAAUGAUUCAAGUUAUGAAAACUUUGGCUUCAUCACUAAUAUUGGUCUCCAACUGUACCCGCCCUCCAGAUUUGAUCGCCAAGACGGUACAUCAGUGUGGUCUUGCUCUCAAGAUUUGUACACACUUGGUUUUUUCAUUUACUCCAUCAUCUGUUCGAUUUGACCAAGUGUAUCUCCACAUCUACCAGCCAUGCCUGUUUGGACUUGCUCGUGUAAUAAUGGUCUGUUACAAUAUCAUGAAAGACGGGCAGUCUCAGUUUAUGAGAUUUCACUGUUGAGUGAUUACAGCUCAGGGUUUGGUGAUGGACAUGGGAUGAAAUGUCAUGCAUGUUUUUACUGACAAAUUCUUGUACCGGUAAAUCAUCUUGUGCAUUUUUAAGCCCAACCAUAUCAUCUGAUCUUUAGUCUACAUAUGUAUUUCUUAAGAAUGGAUAAUCACAAAAUAUAUUCUCAUGGAGAUAGCAUUUUUUCUUCGCUACCAGCAGGUUAUAAGAUGUUCAUCAUCUGGCUGAUGUCUUCACUUGAAAUUAGAUGGGACUUAUUUUCAUCAUUUUUAUUAUUAUUUACGUCUAGAGAUAGUUAUUUGCUAAGCCAACUCCUUGAAAGAAAAAUAGUAGGAAUUGUUAGAUUUUAGCACAACGAGUUGGUUCUACAAAAAUCUAAUAGACAUGUUUUCAUUUUCAGGAAUACAUCUUGGACAGUGCAUCAGCUCCACAUCGGCUAGAGUGUUAGUUAUUUGUUCCCCUGUUGAAUAAUCAGUUUUAAGAUGUACUUUGUUUUUUUAAUUAAGAUGUAUCAUUUGUCCAGCGAAGCAAUCAAAAUUGGUUCAUACUUUCAAAGUAGAAGAUCUAACUAUGUAAAUGUACAUUGUAAAACUUCCUUUUACAGGAGGAUAUAUCAUGUUAGUGUGUUGUAUCAAAAUUUGUAUGGACACUUCAUGCCUUUUUAGUGUAGUUUAUUCUUGUGGUGCCUUCAGUUUACCUAAUA